UUUAUAUUUAAUUUAAUUUUUUUAAAAUUAACUCAUGUAUUGCAUGAGUCUCACAAUUAGUAUUUUAUAAAAUAAUCCGAUUCGGAUAUAUUGGUAAUUUGUUUAGACCCUUUGAUGUUUUCAUUUUAGCGUCAUUUAUUUUUUAUUUUAUUCCCUUUCACUUUUCAAAAUCCAGUAAAUAAUCAUUUGUUUCUUUAUUCUUUUACCAACACAAAAAAAUAAAAAUCCGAAUAUCUCAUUACUUCAAAAUACAAAAUUAAAUAAUUAGAAAAAAAACGGGGUUUAAGAAAAAAAAACAAACAUAAAACAAUUUACAAGAAAUAUUUUUUCGCAAUCUCACCCCUCAUAUUCAAAGAAAGCUAGAGGGCGUGUCCCGAAAGAUAAUCGGUACUUUGCAAAAAAAAAAAAUCACAGAACUUCCAUUUGUUUUUUCUCUGUGCAUGCUUUUUGUUUUGGCAAAAUUUUCUUUUACAAAUGUCAAAAGUUCAAUGAAAGUCAAGUUAUUCCAUUCAAAUGUCUCCGCAUUUCCUCAUUUCAUCUCUUUCAUUGCUGAAAUCUAACAUAUUUGAAGAAAACCCCUUCUCCUUCCUAUUUGCUUUGUCCCUACCCAUUUGUUGGACAUUUUCUUCUAACUCGAACUCAUCGCCAUCUUUUAAAUCUAACCUGACAAGAGCAUCCGGAGAAGCUGUAUAUCCACUUGAUUCCGUUUUUGCUCUUUUUCUUGCUUCUUCUCCAAGUAUAAUGUUGGCUUCGAAUUCUUUCUAUUUUGGACUAGAAGAUAACUCUUUCUAAGGUCAUUAAACUUGAAUGCCUUUCUGGUUUCCUCACAAUACAAAUGAAACGCCUCUUGAAGAAUUUCUUCAUCACCUUGAUCGUUCUCCUUUGAUUUUUAGGUUGUUGUACAACCCGAUUAUCUUUAAAACGCUCUUCGAGAUUUCUCAAAACUUUGAAUUUAGUUGGUGUUUAGUAUGGUUAUCAUCACCAACACCCAUUCUUCACGAAAUCUUUCAGUAAUGCGUAACAAAAAAUGAUCAAUCAAUUGUGCAUUUCCUAGCUGUGAAUUCUCCAAAAUGUCAACCUAAAAUUGUGUUAACACUAACUCUUCUCUCAUACUCCACCCUUUUGGAAUGAACUUUAUUUUAUAUGUCGUCGAUUCUUUUCCUUUGCGACAUGGAAGGGUGGCGGGUGAGGGGGUUGAGUUUCCCAUAUAACUUCGUCAUUUGAUUUACCGAGGCUUUGGGUUUGAGGGUUGUAGGAUGGGGUUGGUUUGGUGAAAGUUGAUUGGGAAAUGCACGAAGUUGUUGAAGAUGUUGGGGUUAACAUUUGGCACUUGCAUGGGGUACUAUUGUUGAACAUUUUGAUAUUGAAAUUAUAGAAGGGAUUGAAUAAGGACAUCAAGUUGGGGAAGAUAAAUCGGAAUCGAUGAAUCGAAGGUGAAAAUGUUUCUAGUUGGCGUGUUUGAACAGAAACAAAAGAUUUUCUUCUAUCAUAUUUUGGGGUUGUAUUCUUGAUAUUUAUUUUUGUUGUUAAAAUAGAUAAAAUAGAGAGGAAAAGAUAAAAUAUGGUGUGAUUUUGAUAGUAGAAUAUAAGUCAUGUAUAUAUAUAUAUAUAUAUAUAUAUAUAUAUAUAUAUAGGGUUAUAAAUUGGUAUAUAUAGUGAGAAGGUGAGAAUGCUUAAGGUGAUGCUAGACUCCGUUUCAAUUUCUCAGUAUCUAUACAUCUUUAACUAUUAGCUUGUAAAAGAUCAUCCGUAUUUUGUUGUGUUUGUUUGAUUUAAAUUUACAAUGAGGAUAACAAAAGAACCUAAGGUAACAAAUGACUUACAUUUAUUAUUGAUGCAAUUACUUGUUGUGUUUGUUUGAUUUAAAUUUAAUUAUAAGGUAUGUAUGUAUUUUUUUGCAGGAUAUGGCUUUUGUGACUGAUGGAUAGGCUCUUGAAAUUGCACUCAAUUAUUACCGGAAAGCAUUCACAUAGUUGGAAAUAUUAUCACGGACAACUAUAUGAUGUUGAAUUACACCAUCCCAAAAGAUUUGGAAGAAUUUGUGGAAAAUUUUGAAGAUAUAAAAAGUGAUAAAGUGAAGAAAAUAUUGAAACCUUGGUAUCAAGAAAUGAUAACACUGUGAAUCUUUGUAGCAUUUUUUAUUUUUAUAUGUUAUUUUGUAUCGAAUAAAAUACUUGUAGUAUUAAGUUUAUAAUUCAAGAAAUAUGCAUAUAUGCAUUUGAAAAAAUAUGCAUAUAUACACCUAAAA